rnacentral:rRNA from 1 species
CGUGCCAGCAGCCGCGGUAAUACGUAGGUGGCAAGCGUUGUCCGGAAUUACUGGGUGUAAAGGGAGCGUAGGCGGGAAGGUAAGUUGAAUGUGAAAUCUAUGGGCUCAACCCAUAGGCUGCGUUCAAAACUAUCUUUCUUGAGUGAAGUAGAGGUAGGCGGAAUUCCUAGUGUAGCGGUGAAAUGCGUAGAUAUUAGGAGGAACACCAGUGGCGAAGGCGGCCUACUGGGCUUUAACUGACGCUGAGGCUCGAAAGCGUGGGUAGCAAACAGGAUUAGAUACCCUGGUAGUCCACGCUGUAAACGAUGAUUACUAGGUGUGGGGGGUUUAACCCCUCCCGUGCCGGAGUUAACACAAUAAGUAAUCCACCUGGGGAGUACGAUCGCAAGAUUGAAACUCAAAGGAAUUGACGGGGGCCCGCACAAGCAGUGGAGUAUGUGGUUUAAUUCGAAGCAACGCGAAGAACCUUACCAGGUCUUGACAUCCCAAGAAAGCAUCAGAGAUGAAGCCGUGCCCUUCGGGGAAUUUGGUGACAGGUGGUGCAUGGUUGUCGUCAGCUCGUGUCGUGAGAUGUUGGGUUAAGUCCCGCAACGAGCGCAACCCUUAUUGUUAGUUGCUACGCAAGAGCACUCUAGCAAGACUGCCGUUGAUAAAACGGAGGAAGGUGGGGAUGACGUCAAAUCAUCAUGCCCCUUAUGACCUGGGCUACACACGUAUUACAAUGGCUAUUAACAAAGUGAAGCAAAGCCGUGAGGUGGAGCAAAACACAAAAAAUAGUCUCAGUUCGGAUUGUAGGCUGCAACUCGCCUACAUGAAGCCGGAAUUGCUAGUAAUCGCGGAUCAGCAUGCCGCGGUGAAUACGUUCCCGGGCUUGUACACACCGCCCGUC